rnacentral:miRNA from 1 species
CAUGCAUAUACAGAAGAAUGU